GGUCUCUUCGGAGACACUCGAGUGGCGAACGCGGUGAGUAACACGUGGGCAAUCUGCCCUGCACACCGGGAUAAGCCUGGGAAACUGGGUCUAAUACCGGAUAGGACCACUUGGCGCAUGCCUUGUGGUGGAAAGCUUUUGCGGUGUGGGAUGGGCCCGCGGCCUAUCAGCUUGUUGGUGGGGUGACGGCCUACCAAGGCGACGACGGGUAGCCGGCCUGAGAGGGUGUCCGGCCACACUGGGACUGAGAUACGGCCCAGACUCCUACGGGAGGCAGCAGUGGGGAAUAUUGCACAAUGGGCGCAAGCCUGAUGCAGCGACGCCGCGUGGGGGAUGACGGCCUUCGGGUUGUAAACCUCUUUCACCAUCGACGAAGGUCCGGGUUCUCUCGGAUUGACGGUAGGUGGAGAAGAAGCACCGGCCAACUACGUGCCAGCAGCCGCGGUAAUACGUAGGGUGCGAGCGUUGUCCGGAAUUACUGGGCGUAAAGAGCUCGUAGGUGGUUUGUCGCGUUGUUCGUGAAAUCUCACGGCUUAACUGUGAGCGUGCGGGCGAUACGG
rnacentral:rRNA from 1 species